GAUAAUAAAAGGACAGAAACUUCGAGGAGGAACUCAGACUUGUGAUAAUCUCGACGAAAAAAGGAUCACUCGAAGAAAUUUAGGGCGGAAAAGUUGGAGGAAUAUCGCUCAGAAGGAACUACGGCGCCGAAAGAUGGGAAAGACGAAACACAAGCGCUUGCUCGCUGCGGAAUAAUAGAACGAAAGAAUCGUAAAGAGAUGUCGGACCUGCCUUAGGACAUUUAUGCACGCAAAUACAAAACUCGAUUUCGACAGUAUGCAUGAGUAAAAAUUGCAUGGAAUUUGGCUUUUUUGACUGAGAUAUAAACUGAACACUCUUCUGUUUACCUCCUUCAUUUUCAAGUUUUCCGCCUGUGCAUGAUUUUUGCAUGAAGUCUGGUCGUAUCAAGCGCAUGCGGAGUGAAUACAAGUGAUUCUGGGGCCCCAAUCACUUGUGUUUUCUCCAUCUUGACGGCUAUAUAGUCCGGACGAAAAUAUCGCUCAGAGAGCGCCUAAAACAUAAAAACAUGAACUAUGUAUUUUUUGAAGGAAAUGAUAGUCCAGUGUUCUUGCUUUCUUGUACAAAAACGUACAUGACAUUUUGUACCAAAACGUGCAUGACAUUUUGUAUUAAAACGUGCAUGACAUUUUGU